rnacentral:tRNA from 1 species
GCCGGAGUGGUGAAAUUGGUAGACGCACCGGACUCAAAAUCCGGCGCCAGCGAUGGCAUGUCGGUUCGACUCCGACCUCCGGCACCA